CCCAGCCCAGAGAGCGCACAGCACGUUUCUUACAAACCUUGGCUUCUGGGUCACUGUUGAUACUACAAGAAUCGUCAUCAUCAGCAUGUGGAGCAUUUCU